CGUUCCCGGGUCUUGUACACACCGCCCGUCACACCACGAAAGUCAGCAACACCCGAAGCCGGUGGCCUAACCCGCAAGGGAGGGAGCCGUCGAAGGUGGGGCCGGCGAUUGGGGUG
rnacentral:rRNA from 1 species